rnacentral:tRNA from 1 species
GUGAGUAUAGUUUAAGUUAAGAUGUUGGAUUGUGAUUCUAAAGAUAGAGGUUAAAGUCCACUUACCCACC